GCCUCAGUAGUUUAGUGGAUAAGAUACCUGCCCGGAAAGCAGGCGAUCCAGGUUCGAUUCCUGGCUGAGAUU